AGAGUUUGAUCAUGGCUCAGAACGAACGCUGGCGGCAUGCCUAACACAUGCAAGUCGAACGAGGUUUCCGCUUCGGUGGGGGCCUAGUGGCGCACGGGUGAGUAACGCGUGGGAACCUGCCCUGUGGUACGGAAUAACUCCGGGAAACUGGAGCUAAUACCGUAUGUGUCCCCUGGGACAAAGAUUUAUCGCCACGGGAUGGGCCCGCGUAGGAUUAGCUUGUUGGCGGGGUAACGGCCCACCAAGGCUACGAUCCUUAGCUGGUCUGAGAGGAUGAUCAGCCACACUGGGACUGAGACACGGCCCAGACUCCUACGGGAGGCAGCAGUGGGGAAUAUUGGACAAUGGGCGCAAGCCUGAUCCAGCAAUGCCGCGUGAGUGAUGAAGGCCUUCGGGUUGUAAAGCUCUUUCGCACGCGACGAUGAUGACGGUAGCGUGAGAAGAAGCCCCGGCUAACUUCGUGCCAGCCGCCGCGGUAAUAC
rnacentral:rRNA from 1 species